UACGUAGGAGGCAAGCGUUGUCCGGAAUUACUGGGCGUAAAGCGCGUGUAGGUGGUGGGACAAGUCUGCUGUGAAAGCGCCUGGCUUAACCGGGCGAGGUCGGCGGAAACUGUCCGACUCGAGGACGGUAGAGGGGGGUGGAAUUCCCGGUGUAGUGGUGAAAUGCGUAGAGAUCGGGAGGAACACCUGUGGCGAAGGCGGCCCCCUGGGACGGCCCUGACACUGAGACGCGAAGGCGUGGGGAGCGAACGGG
rnacentral:rRNA from 1 species